AGAAAAUGAGUGAGUCAACAGAAAGCCUACCUAAGAGUCUCCUUGGCUGAGGAGGAAGACGAAAGCACAGUUCUGAGCAUGAGAGCUCACAUUCUGUUUCUACCAGGUGCUGAAGAAAAGCAAGACAGGUGGUUAAGACUGAAGAGUUGAUCCUGCGCUGUGCUGUGGAGUGGGCAGCUUCUCUCCAUCUUCUCUCACCCUGACACACUGUCUUAGGAUUCCAGUCUCAGAAGCCAGGAACAUAAGCUCCAGGAAAGCCACAGACUAUGGCCACCUACAUCUUGAAGCUCCGUGCCUGCCCUUGGGAGACACUAAAUGGAGUCUUGCUCUGUCGUCAGGCUGGAGUGCACUGGCGUAAUCUGGGCUUACUGCAACCUCCGCCUCCCGGAUUCAAGCGAUUCUCCUGCCUCAGCCUCCCGAGUGGCUGGGACUACAGGCAUGCGCCACCAUGCCGGCCUAAUGUUUUGUAUUUUAGUAGAGACGGGGUUUCACUAUGUUGGCCAGGAUGGUCUCAAUCUCCCGACCUCAUGAUCCACCUGCCUCGGCCUCCCAAAGUGCUGGGAUUACAGGUGUGAGCCGCCAUGCCCAGCCUCAUGAGGGUUAUUAAGCACAUAAUUAUAGAAUGUGUUUUCUUCUUUUAACUACGAUAAGCAUUGUUCAGUAUUCUGUGGGUUUUUCUUUCUCCUUGCAAUGUCAACAGAAUACAUAAUGAGAAAGGUCAUGUCAGGGUCUUUUUGUUUCUCAAAGAUAUCUGAUGAAAUCUGAGGAAGUCAGCUUUACAAAUAACAUAAACUCUGGAGCUCCGUAAGCUGAACGAGUUAGUCUUGGAAGAGUUGCCUCUGCAGCAUUGCUACUCAGAACUUCUAUGAAAACCACAAGAAGUGGUGAGAGGAAGCGGCAAAAUCAAUGACAGAACACAAAUACCCUCUUCUGCCAACCGCUUAAAAGGAAAUUAUGGGGGGCUGGGUCGGUGGUUCGGUGGCUCACGCCUGUAAUCCCAACACUUUGGGAGGCUAAGGCGAGAGGAUUGCUUGAGCCCAGGAGUUUGAGACCAGCCAGGGAAACAUACAGAGAUGUCAGCUCUACAAACGAUAAUAAAAAGAAAAUUAUCCAAGCAUGGUGGUACACGCCUGUUGUCCCCACUACUUGGGAGGCUGAGUGGGAGAGGCUGAGGUUGGCAGAUUGCUUGAGCCAUGAUCACACCACUGCACUCAGUCUGGGUGACAGAGCAAGACCCAGUCUCAAAACAACAACAACAACAACAACAAAACCCAGAAAAUUCUUCACAAAGGUUAUACAUUUUCUCAAUAAUAUACAAAUUUGAGAAAUGUGAAGUACAUUUAAUUGAAUUAUGUAAAAUAUAACACAGACUUCAUAUAUUCAAUUCACAAAUAAAUUUUCUAGGUUCUUUACUUUUUCAUGUUCAUAUGUUUUUUAUGAAGAACAUAUGGUCACCUAAGAAGAAUAAAAUAAAAACCCAUCAAACAGAAAUAUUCAUAUCCUCCCCAAACCGUAUUAUCUUAAACACAAUUACAAACUUAUUUAAUUACACAAGUGAGAAUCUUAAGCUGAGAGAAGAAAAUUUCUAGAGAAAUUUCUUUUGUUCAUUAUAGGAUUAUUUCAAUACUGAAGGAUAGUCUUCGACAUUAGAAUUGCUUCCUUUUAAAGUGUACAAAUGCCAGUGUAAAAGGAAACAUCAUAACAUCCAUUUCAGCCUUAAUUUUCUAAUGGCUCAGGCCGUUUUUAUACAGUGUAUUCUUCUCCAGUGUCUUAAGAUAGUUUGGAAACAGUACCUGUUGAACCUUUCAGAGAGCAGUCUACCAUAUAUCCCUUGAUCCUCAAUUUCUAAUUUAGAUUCAUUUGUGGUUGUUACAGUUAUAAGUAACGUACAUUUAAGAAAGAUAUAUCUGUAGAACAGUUUCUGCACUUAUAUGUGUAUAUAAAUUAUAUGUCUGCUAAAUUUUUUUUGGCCUUUGUACUUGAAAAAAAAUUAACAGAUGUUAAAAUAUUUGGCUCACAAGCAAUGUUAAAAACAAUCUGUAGAUAAUGCUUCCUUAUUUUUCUUGGAUUAAUGUAAAAUCAGGAUUAAUUUGCUUUGUGUACCUGGGAAAUAAUCUCGUUUGUAUGCUUGUUUCUAGGAUGUCUUUUACUCUUCAUAAUAAUAAAAAAGUCAGUGCAUGUCAGUAUAUACAUAUCCUUCUUGAUUUUAUCUGGAAAUUAUUAGGUUUGAUCUCAAUUAUUUAUCAUUUAU
rnacentral:lncRNA from 1 species